rnacentral:rRNA from 1 species
AUUGAACGCUGGCGGCAGGCCUAACACAUGCAAGUCGAACGAGUGGCGGACGGGUGAGUAAUGUCUGGGAAACUGCCUGAUGGAGGGGGAUAACUACUGGAAACGGUAGCUAAUACCGCAUACCAUCAGAUGUGCCCAGAGGGGGUGAGCUAGAAGGUGGGGUAACAGCUCACCUAGGCGACGAUCCCUAGCUGGUCUGAGAGGAUGACCAGCCACACUGGAACUGAGACACGGUCCAGACUCCUACGGGAGGCAGCAGUGGGGAAUAUUGCACAAUGGGCGCAAGCCGGAUGCAGCCAUGCCGCGUGUAUGAAGAAGGCCUUCGGGUUGUAAAGUACUUUCAGCGGGGAGGCGUUACCCGCAGAAGAAGCACCGGCUAACUCCGUGCCAGCCGCCGCGGUAAUAC